GGUCUUGGUCCUUCAAUUGCAGGUACAAAAAUAUUUCAUGAUUAUGCCCGUGAUUGGAGUCUAAAGGGAUCAAGCUUUGAGAAAUUCUUUUUCCUCUUAUCCCUUUUUUAAUUUAUUUUAUUUUUAUUUUUUUGGGUGGGGGGAAGGGGGUGUUUUGGGGGAGGUGUGGAAAGCAUGGAACAAAUAUCCAUGGCUGUGAUCAUAUUUUAAGAGGUCCAGAGCUAAGGUCUGUUGAAUGUCUUGAAAUUAAGGGGGGAUAAAAAACCCCAAAUUGGAAAAAGGAAAAGUUGAGUUUGGAGCCAUGUUGAAUAAGUGUGGUCAUGCAUUUUUAGGCCAUUCAAUUUCUAGAACAGUAUAAAAUAUAUAAAUAUCAUAUCUGUGUCUUUUGGCCAUUACAAGGUGGCAAAUGUUGCCCAUGGCAUUUGCGGUAUAAGUAUUCAUAAAACUGCUAAACUCUUUCAGAGUUUUGAGUAUUUAAUUGCCAUUUUAAACAAGAGAAAACAAUUUCUUAGGUGUCUUCACACCUAGUGAUGC
rnacentral:misc_RNA from 1 species